GCGAAUAUAAUUUAAUGGUAGAAUGUUAGCCUUCCACGCUAAACAUGCGAGUUCGAUUCUCGUUAUUCGCUCCA
rnacentral:tRNA from 2 species